UACGUAGGUGGCAAGCGUUGUCCGGAUUUACUGGGCGUAAAGAGCGCGCAGGCGGUCGUUCAAGUCGCGUGUGAAAGCCCCCGGCUCAACUGGGGAGGGUCACGCGAUACUGAUCGACUCGAAGGCAGGAGAGGGUAGUGGAAUUCCCGGUGUAGAGGUGAAAUUCGUAGAUAUCGGGAGGAACACCAGUGGCGAAGGCGGCGACCUGGGCCAAUAUUGACGCUGAGGUGCGAAAGCGUGGGGAGCAAACAGG
rnacentral:rRNA from 1 species